ACGGAAGGCAGCAGUGGGGUAUAUUGCACAAUGGGGGAAACCCUGAUGCAGCGACGCCACGUGUGGGAAGAAGCAUUUCGGUGUGUAAACCACUGUCGUGAGGGAAUAAUGCUUGGUUUCGGCCAAGUUGAAUGUACCUCGAAAGGAAGCACCGGCAAACUUCGUACCAGCAGCCGCGGUAAUACGAGGGGUGCAAGCGUUGUUCGGAAUCACUGGGCGUAAAGGGAGCGCAGGCGGAGAUGCAAGCGGACUGUACAAUACCGGGGCCCAACCCCGGACCUGCAGUCCGGACUGCACCUCUUGGAUAGUUCAGGGGCAAGCGGAAUUCCUGGUGUAGCGGUGGAAUGCGUAGAGAUCAGGAAGAACACCGAUGGCGAAGGCAGCUUGCUGGGGACUUAUCGACGCUCAUGCUCGAAAGUGCGGGUAGCAAGCAGGAUUAGAUACCCUGGUA
rnacentral:rRNA from 1 species